UACAGAGGGUGCAAGCGUUGUUCGGAAUUAUUGGGCGUAAAGCGCGUGUAGGCGGCUUUGCAAGUCGGUGUGAAAGCCCUCGGCUCAACCGAGGAAGUGCGCCCGAAACUGCAGAGCUUGAGUGCCGGAGAGGGUGGCGGAAUUCCCCAAGUAGAGGUGAGAUUCGUAGAUAUGGGGAGGAACACCGGUGGCGAAGGCGGCCACCUGGACGGUAACUGACGCUGAGACGCGAAGCGUGGGAGCAAACAGG
rnacentral:rRNA from 1 species